AUUGAACGCCGGCGGCAUGCUUUACACAUGCAAGUCGGACGGCAGCACAGAGAAGCUUGCUUCUUGGGUGGCGAGUGGCGAACGGGUGAGUAACAUAUCGGAACGUACCGAGUAGUGGGGGAUAACUGAUCGAAAGAUCAGCUAAUACCGCAUACGUCUUGAGAGGGAAAGCAGGGGACCUUCGGGCCUUGCGCUAUUCGAGCGGCCGAUAUCUGAUUAGCUAGUUGGUGGGGUAAAGGCCUACCAAGGCGACGAUCAGUAGCGGGUCUGAGAGGAUGAUCCGCCACACUGGGACUGAGACACGGCCCAGACUCCUACGGGAGGCAGCAGUGGGGAAUUUUGGACAAUGGGCGCAAGCCUGAUCCAGCCAUGCCGCGUGUCUGAAGAAGGCCUUCGGGUUGUAAAGGACUUUUGUCAGGGAAGAAAAGGCUGUUGCUAAUAUCAGCGGCUGA
rnacentral:rRNA from 1 species